rnacentral:rRNA from 1 species
GCGUGAGUGAUGAAGGCCCUAGGGUUGUAAAGCUCUUUUGUCGGGGACGAUAAUGACGGUACCCGAAGAAUAAGCUCCGGCUAACUUCGUGCCAGCAGCCGCGGUAAUACGAAGGGAGCUAGCGUUGUUCGGAAUCACUGGGCGUAAAGCGCACGUAGGCGGAUUAGUUAGUCAGGGGUGAAAUCCCGGGGCUCAACCUCGGAACUGCCUUUGAUACUGCUGAUCUCGAGUCCGAUAGAGGUGGGUGGAAUUCCUAGUGUAGAGGUGAAAUUCGU